CCAAGAGGAAGACCGUCACCGCUAUGGA
rnacentral:sRNA from 1 species